rnacentral:rRNA from 1 species
AUUGAACGCUGGCGGCAGGCCUAACACAUGCAAGUCGAACGAGUGGCGGACGGGUGAGUAAUGUCUGGGAAACUGCCCGAUAGAGGGGGAUAACUACUGGAGAAGGUAGCGAAUACCGCAUACCAUCGGAUGUGCCCAGAUGGGAUUAGCUCGUAGGUGGGGUAACGGCGCACCUAGGCGCCGAUCCCUAGCUGGUCUGAGAGGAUGACCAGCCACACUGGAACUGAGACACGGUCCAGACUCCUACGGGAGGCAGCAGUGGGGAAUAUUGCACAAUGGGCGCAAGCCUGAUGCAGCCAUGCCGCGUGUAUGAAGAAGGCCUUCGGGUUGUAAAGUACUUUCAGCGAGGAGGCGUUACUCGCAGAAGAAGCACCGGCUAACUCCGUGCCAGCAGCCGCGGUAAUUC